AUGCGGGUAGCGCCGGGCGGCGGGGAGGCCACCGUGUUGGUCAACCAGGUUGACGGUUAUCCUCUGCGCUUCACCAACGGUGUUGACGUUGAUCAAGUUACGGGAAAGGUCUACUUCACCGAUAGCUCGAUGAACUAUCAAAGGUCGCAGCAUGAGAUGGUCACUCGCACAGGAGACUCGACGGGCCGCCUCAUGAGCUACGACCCACGGACAUCGGAUGUCACGCUGCUCCAGGCGGGCAUGACGUACCCCAACGGCGUCGCGCUCAGCGGGGUCAACGCAGGCACAUCCGAGCCUUUUGCCGACCUGCCCGGCUAUCCAGAUAACGUGAGGCCCGACACCAAAGGAGGCUAUUGGGUGGCGUUGCACCGCGAGAAGAAUGAGUUGCCCUUUGGUCGUGAUAGUCAUCGUCUCGCUGUCAGGGUCGGUAAUGAUGGGAAGAUAGUCGAGGAGAUGAGAGGGCCAAAGAAGGUGAGGCCCACCGAGAUUAUGGAGAGAAGCAAUGGCAAGAUCUACUUUGGUUCGGUAGAGCUUCCUUAUGUCGGCGUUGUUAAGCGCAAGUAG
rnacentral:rRNA from 1 species